rnacentral:rRNA from 1 species
CUCCUACGGAGGGCAGCAGUAAGGAAUAUUGGUCAAUGGACGCAAGUCUGAACCAGCCAUGCCGCGUGAAGGAUGAAGGUCCUCUGGAUUGUAAACUCUUUAUCUGGACGAAACACUGAUUUCUAAUCAGCUUGACGGUACCAGAGGAAUAAGCACCGGCUAACUCCGUGCCAGCAGCCGCGUAAUAC